AGCCUUGAAAGGCAGAAAUCAUGCAUGUAGGAUGCCUCAAAGCGGGUGGGUCAUUGGCCAUUGGAAGCUUUUGAUAAAGGAGGUAGCCCAGCUUAGCCUUUAGGAGAAGGGUGGAGAUGGAGCAGUUUUCUUUCUGGGAUUCCCGAAGGAAAGGACUGGGUUCUUUACUGCAAGAGGUACCAAAUAAUCAGGGUUAGGGAAAUGUGUUCAACACUACUUCAUUUGCAAUUAAUAUUGUUUUUUGAUAUAGGUAUUUUUCUGUGUGGAUUUCAGGGAAAGAUUUUCCAAUCCCACUGAAGACUUUUGAACUCUUCUUCACCCAGUUGAGAAAGCAUUCGAAUCUUCAAACUUUAGUUCAUGCUUGGAAGGAAGUACUCGGAGCAGAAACACAAGAACAUCUGUCUUCUGGUAUAACAGUGUCUAGUAAUGUAUUUCAAUUGCCAUGCAUUCUGAAUGAUUAAGAUUCUUGAUCCUCUGUUAUAAUCACAGAAUAAAUUUAAAGCUUUCUUACUUGUCUCUGGGUAU
rnacentral:lncRNA from 1 species